rnacentral:rRNA from 1 species
ACCACUGGCAAGCUCCCCCCCUUCACCUCGCCCCAGAUCGAAUGCCAUGGACAAGGAGAGCAUCUCUCUCUGAUCAUGAAGCAGCCCCAACCCUAGCCCUUCUUUGGCCAUGGCGGCUGAGUAGGCAGGAGAUAUAUUUGUUACAUCCGUUUUCAAGCAUGUGACUAUGAUCCAAUUUGUGCAAGAGCUCCUCGACUUACAUGAUGCAUCACGCCCGCUAACAGACAUGUACCGUGCAAAAUAAAGAAAGCACUGCGUGGUGUUCGUGUUGAAGCAAACCACCAGAAAGACCAAAUCAGAAAAUAGAAGAUAACAGGAAUUACUCCUGUCCACAUUGAGCCAGCGGAAAUUUCCUGUUGAUGAGAGAGGAACAAUAAUGCCAGUCGUUCAGUACUUCAAGGACAUAUACAACUGCAAUCUGCAGUAUACUACUUGGCCCUGCCUGCAGUCUGGAAGUGAUUAUCGGCCUGUAUAUUUGCCUAUGGAGAUUUCGCUAGGCAAUUUCAUGAGUGGGUGCCUGCACAAAUUGCUCGAGUAUUUUCAGCCACAUCAAUGUCCAGCACCUCUUGUAACAAUAUGGACGGCCACUACUUCUUCGGCUCAAGCGAUCGACCCCUUCGCCGACGAUGAAUCGACGUCCGGAGCUCUACAGAAACUACCAGCAUGACAGUUGCAAAUACGAGGAGCAGUGCAGGUUCGUGCACGCCAACUCUAACCAACAGUGAACCCAACCAAUUCAGGUUUUGGUACCGGGAGCAGGCAACAGCCGCAACAUAUUGUUUGGUUAGACGAUCCAAAUAUGGGCAUGUAUACUUCAAGACUUAAUUCUAACCAGGCGCUAAGGAAAUCCGCUCUGAACUAAGAAGGAAGAACAGAAGCAACAGCGUACAUCACGAAGAUAGGCACAGAUAAAUGGAUGCAUUCCAAUCCUUCUGAUCCAAAUAUAGAAAAGCAUCCUAUUAGAUUGGUCACCACAGGGUUGCUUUGCCUCUGUCUAUGGUGUUUUUUUUUCUGGAUGGAAUCAUCACCAAAAAAUUCAAAGCAGAGUAACCACUGAGAAUAUGAAAGAGAGCUUGCAAUUCCAUUCGUCAAUGUGCAGUGGCAGGGAACAAAUUUACAUUUUGUAGCGGCGACAUCAACGGAUGGAGGGUACGCCUGCUGCAGUGGACUUUGUCAUCUCAUCAACAUCCUCGCCCGUGACAGUACACGGAAGCUUUCUCUUGCUGUUGAAAUCUCUGAAGAAUUUUAUGGAAGAUUGCAUCAAGGGGGAUAUAUUGGUUUUGAGGCACCAGCACUUUUUUGCUUAGGAGUAGUUUUGCUGCUUUGUUGAUAAGCAUACUGAAGGUAUUAUUUCUUUUUCACGACGAGGGCGGUGGCGGGGGUUGCUGCAGCUCCAGCGUGGCCCUGGAGCUCAUGGUGUGCCUCAUACUGUACCUCAACUACCUGUACGUCUGAUGGAGCAAAAGGGACGGUGUGCAUCGAACGGGGCCGGGUCGAUGAGGAAGAGGACCGGCAGAGGGGGCUCGACAAGGUGUCACAUUCAAAAGGCGCGGACGCAUGGUUGCGACAGCAAGGUCGGGGAGGAGUGUGCAGUCUACCUGGGUGCCAUGCAAGAUGGAUACGGCACGGUGGUCGGGCCGACAUGGAGCAUUCUCAUUAUUAUGGAAAAUGAUGGAUAGCAAAAUCCACAAGAUCACCAGCCGAGGGGGGAGGGUGGCUUGACAAGGCGGUGCUGGCAGCUAUGCCCAUGCCAGUGUUCAGAUUCAAGGGGGUCGCGCGAUGGCGCAAAGAUUGGUAGCCACUGCAUAUGUGUUGCUUCAUCAUCAUGCCUUGGAAGCAUGGGUGGCUUCCGCUGCUUGAUGGUUAGCCAUCCAGUACACAAUUAUUUUUUGUUAGCUUGUUUCAAUUGGAAGCAAUAAUUUUUUGCUAUGACUUCUAGAUUGUAAUCCUUCUUGACUUUUGAAUCAGUGAUAAGUGUAAUCCUACUUGACUUUGCAUCAGUGAUAAAUGAUUCAAUGAGUUUGUAAUUAAAUUCAUAGUUGGUG